rnacentral:tRNA from 1 species
GUCCCCUUGGCACAGCUGGAUAGCGCGACUCCCUCCUAAGGAGUAGGUCAGAGGUUCGAAUCCUCUAGGGGACGCCA